UGUAGGAACUGGCUCUACUAUCUAGCUUUUAAAUGUAAUAAAUCUAGAAGGCAAUGGAACAUUACUGUCUUUCCCUCUUUCUACAUAAGCAAGAAAGCUGUGACUUGGAUUCUGGACAUGAAUCUUCUUAACAUGUUGAAGCAGAAAACUAUAGAUGCAGAGUCCAAUUAGUUGUCCUUUGUGCAUACACAAGAAAGUGGAAUUUGGAGUCUGAACAUGAAUCCUUGAGACUGAUGGCCAGAAACAGAACACAACAUGAUGACCUUGAGUGAGACCCUUCUUCACAUGUGACUGCUCUCUUUUGGAAUACCAGCCAUGCGUGACAUGUUUAGUAGAACAGAUUGUGUCGUACGUCUGGUAGUUGUUGUUGCCUAUACAGAGUGUGAUGAUCUGAGGGUGUGAACUAUUUUUUGUGCAAAAUACUUGUUAUAUAAACUAUAUGGAUGGAGUUACGGGACAUUAAGAAAAGAUAUGAGAAAGAAUAUAGAGUGUGAAAUUUGCUAUAUAAAUUACUUGUUAUAUAAAAGUUGAAUCUCACGAUCCAACUUUUUAGAACUAUGCCACAACUUUUAUGAGGCCAUAAGUUUUUCUUUUGAAAUCUGCAGGUUAUAUGAUUUGUACAUGGCGGUGUUACUGAACAGAAGGAGAUAGAACAUGAUGAUCCUCUCUUAAUUUGGUUUCUCCUCCGCUGAAGAAUAUAGGAAUCACCAGCAGCCCUUCUCUAGUUCCGAGGAAGUGCUCAACCUAGACGUUGUUGGCCGAAGGAGGGGCGGAGCAGGUGCCAGUCAAGUAGGCGGCUCAAUGGGUGGGAGAUGGCAGCUGCCGAUCUCACACGGCUCAUGCGCCCCGCGACCCUCCCCUCCCCGGCUAAGUAGGAGGUUCGAGGGCAGUGACUAAGGAAGGAGCACAUCGGCGAUGAGGGCUAGCAAUAGCAAGACAAUUGCCAGGUGCAGUCGAUAUGCCGCCACGUCGGCCCUUCACGCGCGCCCGCCAGGGUCGGGACCUUUUUCAGAGCAAUGCGUAGUGUUUCCUUUAUUGUUGUUGUUUGUGAUGUCCUUGAUAUUCCUUUGCCAUAUGAUUUUUGAUCAUUUUCUCGUUCAUUCCUAGAGGAGCGCUAUGGAUAAUAUGAUUGAGAUGACUAAGAUACAUGCUUUUUGUUUACUUGGCAUCUGCUUCUCUUAAUUUUUCUACAACCCUUCCUUUACAUGCUGGUAUGUUUUGUUGCCAGGCUCAGAUCGGCAAGACCCGUGCCAAUGCACGAGGUACAAUAUUGGUUAAUUUUCCAUCUCCAAUCAGAUUAAUGGUUUGCAUGCAGACCAAGCCCAGUGUUUUAUGGUGUUCUUAUUCCUGAUUUAGUUGUACAUUUGACUUUUAGUUUCUUCAUAGAUAAUAAAGUAGUGGCAGAUGAACCAGUAAGUUAUCUGUGCCCAUUCUUUGUUGUAAGCAUUAAAUUUGCUCUCUGCUUUUACUUUCAAUGUGUUAUCCGUACCCCUGUUUUUUGUGGCUAAUUAUUAUGUCCUAUCAACAUAUGCAGAGUCCAUGGUAUCAUACGAUUUGAAGUUGAA